AGCAACACCAUCCUCUUAGUGUGGUCUUAAAAAAAGCUGACAUGAGACAACAAGACAAUUAUGACUCAAGGCCCUGGGUAAAUAGAAAGUCGAACUGAGGAAGAAGAGGUGGGAGGGCUGGUCCAAGCAUUCUGUGUACACAGAGUGUGCAUUGUACUGGGCUCUGGGAGUGAACUCAAUCGCUCGGCUACCAUGAGCAGCUGGAACGGACCGAGACUUUCUCUCCUACAAGCUUGAGGCCGUGCAGGGACCAUUUACAAUAGAGCUGUGUUCACCAUGUUUGGAAGACUGUAUAAAGUAUGGAUGUAACCUCUGUGACAUCCCCACUGAAAAGCCAUUGUGGAGCGCAGUGUGUUUACUCCGGCCUUCACCAUCUUGGCAGUGCUGACUCCCAGCUGAUCCAAAAAUGAGCAUUGCAAGCUGAGGUAGACUGGUUGCUAACAGCUAGCUAGACUGCUAGCAGCUAGCUGCCACUCAAGGUGGCACAUGCAUAACUUUAAGCCUUAAUACAAUUCAAAUAAGUGAGUUAUAUAGCUAGAAUUACGACCUUGUGGCAGUAUGCCCUGGAGGCCAGUCAAGUUACUGUGCUGAGCUAUGGCACUAAUAGGCAGAA